ACCGAAUAGAUACCCGGGUAGUCCACGCCCUAAACGAUGCGAACUGGAUGUUGGGUACAUUACGGUACUCAGUGUCGAAAGCUAAACGCGUUAAGUUCGCCGCCUGGGGAGUACGGUCGCAAGACUGAAACUCAAAGGAAUUGACGGGGGCCCGCACAAGCGGUGGAGUAUGUGGUUUAAUUCGAUGCAACGCGAAGAACCUUACCUGGCCUUGACAUCUGUCGAAUCCUGCAGAGAUGCGGGAGUGCCGCAAGGAACGACAAGACAGGUGCUGCAUGGCUGUCGUCAGCUCGUGUCGUGAGAUGUUGGGUUAAGUCCCGCAACGGAGCG
rnacentral:rRNA from 1 species